AAACGAUAUUUCUGCUAUUUUCUGUUCUUUGAUUUGCUCUACCUCAUCUGGGUUAUUUGAGUUGUUGCCAAUUAAGGCUCAAAAUUGAGCAUGAUUCAUGAUCAAAGUUCCUGUGGAGUACGUAACAGUUUGUCUUUUAUGGUUUUGCUAUUUGAUGGGAGUUGUUUUCAACUGCUGAAUAUUUCCACUGCUUAUUUGAGGUCACCUAGCUCUAGCCUCUGUGGAGUGUUUUUGAAAUUUAUUUGAGUCGAUGAAAUUUCCUUUUUUUUUGGUCAUUCACAUUUGA
rnacentral:misc_RNA from 1 species